GUCUACGGCCAUGCCACCACAAAUGUGCCCAAUCUCGUCUGAUCUCAGAAGCUAAGCAGGGUCGGGCCUGGUUAGUACUUGGAUAGGAGACCACCGAGGAAGACCAGGUGCUGUAGGUG
rnacentral:rRNA from 1 species